AACGUAGGAGGCAAGCGUUGUCCGGAUUUACUGGGCGUAAAGAGCGCGUAGGCGGUCUAUUAAGUGAGAAGUGAAAUUUCUAGAGCUCAACUCAGAAACUGCUUCUCAUACUGAUAGACUUGAGGAAUGUAGGGGUGAAUGGAAUUCCUGGUGUAGCGGUGACAUGCAUUGAUAUCAGGAGGAACACCUAUGGCGAAGGCAGUUCACUGGACAUUUCCUGACGCUGAGGCGCGAAAGCGUGGGUAGCAAACAGA
rnacentral:rRNA from 1 species